rnacentral:rRNA from 1 species
GACGAACCGAGCGACCGUUAUUCGGAAUCACUGGGCUUAAAGGGCGCGUAGGCGGGCCGUCAAGUCAGGGGUGAAAGCCUCCAGCUCAACUGGAGAAGUGCCUCUGAUACUGGCGGCCUCGAGCGAGGUAGGGGCGUGCGGAACUUCCGGUGGAGCGGUGAAAUGCGUAGAUAUCGGAAGGAACAUCGGUGGCGAAAGCGGCGCGCUGGACCUCUUCUGACGCUGAGGCGCGAAAGCCAGGGGAGCGAACGGG